GUGUUAAUGCUAAUCGUGAUAGGGGUUUUAAAUUUAACAGACUCCUACAUGUUAGCAUUAAUAU